rnacentral:rRNA from 1 species
AUUGAACGCUGGCGGCAUGCCUUACACAUGCAAGUCGAACGGCAGCACGGGUGCUUGCACCUGGUGGCGAGUGGCGAACGGGUGAGUAAUACAUCGGAACAUGUCCUGUAGUGGGGGAUAGCCCGGCGAAAGCCGGAUUAAUACCGCAUACGAUCUACGGAUGAAAGCGGGGGACCUUCGGGCCUCGCGCUAUAGGGUUGGCCGAUGGCUGAUUAGCUAGUUGGUGGGGUAAAGGCCCACCAAGGCGACGAUCAGUAGCUGGUCUGAGAGGACGACCAGCCACACUGGGACUGAGACACGGCCCAGACUCCUACGGGAGGCAGCAGUGGGGAAUUUUGGACAAUGGGCGAAAGCCUGAUCCAGCAAUGCCGCGUGUGUGAAGAUGGCCUUCGGGUUGUAAAGCACUUUUGUCCGGAAAGAAAUCCUUGGCCCUAAUACGGUCGGGGGAUGACGGUACCGGAAGAAUAAGCACCGGCUAACUACGUG